UACGUAGGGUCCGAGCGUUGUCCGGAAUUAUUGGGCGUAAAGGGCUCGUAGGCGGUUUGUCGCGUCGAGCGUGAAAACUCAGGGCUCAACCCUGAGCGUGCUUCCGAUACGGGCAAACUAGAGGUAUGCAGGGGAGAAUGGAAUUCCUGGUGUAGCGGUGGAAUGCGCAGAUAUCAGGAGGAACACCGGUGGCGAAGGCGGUUCUCUGGGCAUUACCUGACGCUGAGGAGCGAAAGCAUGGGGAGCGAACAGG
rnacentral:rRNA from 1 species